rnacentral:rRNA from 1 species
GAUGAACGCUGGCGGCGUGCCUAAUACAUGCAAGUCGAGCGAACGGACGAGAAGCUUGCUUCUCUGAUGUUAGCGGCGGACGGGUGAGUAACACGUGGAUAACCUACCUAUAAAACUGGGAUAACUUCGGGAAACCGGAGCUAAUACCGGAUAAUAUUUUGAACCGCAUGGUUCAAAAGUGAAAGACGGUCUUGCUGUCACUUAUAGAUGGAUCUGCGCUGCAUUAGCUAGUUGGUAAGGUAACGGCUUACCAAGGCAACGAUGCAUAGCCGACCUGAGAGGGUGAUCGGCCACACUGGAACUGAGACACGGUCCAGACUCCUACGGGAGGCAGCAGUAGGGAAUCUUCCGCAAUGGGCGAAAGCCUGACGGAGCAACGCCGCGUGAGUGAUGAAGGUCUUCGGAUCGUAAAACUCUGUUAUUAGGGAAGAACAUAUGUGUAAGUAACUGUGCACAUCUUGACGGUACCUAAUCAGAAAGCCACGGCUAACUACGUG